rnacentral:rRNA from 1 species
CCUACGGGUGGCAGCAGUGGGGAAUAUUGGACAAUGGGGGGAACCCUGAUGCAGCGACGCCGCGUGAGUGAAGAAGUGUUUCGGUAUGUAAAGCUCUAUCAGCAGGGAAGAAAGAAAUGUCGGUACCUGACUAAGAAGUCCCCGCUAACUACGUCCCAGCAGCCGCGGUACUACGUAGGGGGCAAGCGUUAUCCGGAUUUACUGGGUGCAAAGGGAGCGUAGACGGCGGUGCAAGUCUGGAGUGAAAGGCGGGGGCUUAACCCCCGGACUGCUUUGGAAACUGUAUGGCUGGAGUGCAGGAGAGGUAAGUGGAAUUCCUAGUGUAGCGGUGAAAUGCGUAGAUAUUAGGAGGAACACCAGUGGCGAAGGCGGCUUACUGGACUGUAACUGACGUUGAGGCUCGAAAGCGUGGGGAGCAAACAGGAUUAGAUACCCCUGUAGUC